rnacentral:lncRNA from 1 species
CUCUGGUGGAGGUGAAUUUUGGUUGAGCCUUCCGCUAUGAAGCUCCUUCAUCUUACCUUUGCAUUUCUCUGUCUGAUGAUGCUGGUUGUUCCAGGUUUUUCUGAAAUACUUAAUGAGCAGCAAUGCCUCGAUGAAGGGGGAAUGUGUGUCUACCACAGAUGUAAACGUAAUUUCGAGCAGAUUGGACUCUGUUCAAGCAAAGAUGUUUGCUGCAGGAGAUACAAGUGGAAAAUGUGACCACGCCUNGUCAUACUGUUUGAAAUUCAUGGACAUCCUCAGCUGUGAAAUUCCGAUGGAUUAUAAAUUUGGAAGUCUUCCAGGGGAAAGGGAUGUGAUUAACUGAUGCCUAAAUAAAAGGAAGUUGCAGUGCA